UGGUGGUACACGGGUGUUCAGCCAUACUCUCUUCAGGGGGGAGUACUGGUGAGACAUGCCUGAUUACGUCAGUCACUCCCAGCAACGCCCUUCAAACAAGGAAUAGGGUUCCGUCGCUAUAUGCCGGACCCCCGGAAAGGCUUCCACGGUGCGGAGCACGUGUCUACGUCAAGAGCUCAAGUUAACACUUGGGAGUCGCCGAUUGGGACUACCAAGUC
rnacentral:lncRNA from 1 species